rnacentral:misc_RNA from 1 species
AUUUUGAUUGUCUGUAUGGUGUUAAAAACCACGUGUGUCUGUUGUGAACGGGAAUUAAAUGUCUGACCCCAGAAUUUUUUCUCUCUGCAGUGAAACUGGAAUAGAUUCCUAAGUUUUUUUUGUUUUUUGAUACCAUUAUUUACAAUCAGAAUCAGGAGGCAUCUAUCAAAGAUUUCUGCAACUGUGUUGUCUUUGCAGAACAUGUCAUCUGCAAUAUGAGUGAUGGUGGUUCAACAGAUCACAGGCCAUAAUGUCCAGCCAGGGCCGAGAAUCCAGCAAUGGGAUAUCUGCUAAAGCAAGCAACCCUGACACCAAAAAAUCCAAAGAUGCUGCAUCUGGGCCUGAUGCUGACUCGUCUUCAAAGACCAGGCGUCCGACAAACGUCAUCCGCCCGCCGAGCAAUCUUCCGCGAGUGGAUGAGGAGCCAACCACAUCGGACCAAACACGGGAGGUUGAGACUGUUGACCGGGGGGUGGGGCCCACCCCACUGCCUCCCCCAAUAGACCCCAGACUCCAUCAGCAGAGUCCUUACUAUGGUGUCCAGCCCUUGUUAGACCCUAGAAAUGGAUUGCUGGAUUAUCCUUAUGGCUUCAACAUUAAUCCCUAUAGAUACUACAACAUCCCUUACCCCAUCAACAACCCAAUACCACUGAACUCGCACACACUGGAGGGGCGAUAUCAGUGGCCUCAGCCUGGGCCAUAUCAUCAACCUAUGCCCCCUGGCAUUCCUCACAGUCCCCUGUCGGAUGUUCCAGGUCUCAGCUUACGCAGCCCUUUAUCACGAGAACCAGUCACCAACCUAGCGGCCCGCAUUCACUGGGAGCAGCUUCACAGAAACUAUUUCCAGCAGAGUCCCCACUCACAGCGACGAUACAGUCCGUCUAGCUUACCAGGUUUUCCAUUAGGAGGCCCGGGGUCCCUUUAUGGUGAUUAUUCCCCUAGUCAUGUUUCACACAGUGGGAGAAGCAUGUUUGGGGACAUUCCUCCCACCCCAGGUAGUGGAAGUAUAACCCUUCCUGGAUCUUUGGAAAGUUCGCGUCUUACGAGCCCCAGACCUAGCAUUGUGGGCCGAAGUAGGAAGCGAGCUCUGUCCCACUCACCGAUCUCGGACUUCUUGGAUAUUCAGAGUCUAACUCGAAGCUCUGAGGGGUCGCUACAGUUUCCUCCCUUCAACCUGAGUACUCAUAAUUCCCGGAGCUCCAGCGCUGCCAGUGGCUCCUAUGGCCAUUUGUCUGCAGCGUCUUUGGGGGCAGUUAGUCCUGCCCAUCAACCACAGCUUCCUUACUUCAGGCCCCCUGCUGGCAGUAUGCAGGGCUCACCAUUUAUGCAUCCCAUGAUGCAGCAGUCAAUGAUGCCACCUGGUAAUCGGAUGCACCAAGGUGGGCCUAUGGGGGUACCUCCCUCAUCGCAGACCUCACUGCCUCCCCAGCAGCCCUCAGGGAAAGGGGACCACUCACAGGUGGGUACUCAAAUAAUGAACAAAUCACACAGCAGAGAGCUCAUCAGUAGGUACAUGUAACUGAAUGGAGAUUUUUUAAGAACACAUGUACUCCUCACUAUCAACAGCAGAAAAAAAAACCACACUGAGGUUAACUAAAUUUCAAAGGGAAACAACUGUGACCAGUUCACACCAGAGAGCUAAUCAGUUGAUAGAGUACCUGACGGAUUAAUUGUUUUCUCCAUUCAGUUGCAUUACAUAGACCUAUAUACCUGGUAUUCUACAAUGAUAGUAUACAGAAAACAAUAGAUGAGUAAAAGCCACUGUCAAUAACACUCAGGAGGUUCAAGUUUCAAUAUGGUUGUUUUACUGCUGUAACGACUGGAUAUAGUUUUGUAUGAACACAAAUUACUUUGAUCAUCUAUAUCAGGUUUUGGUUUUAUCUCUUUAGUCACAGAUUUCGACAACGACGAAAGAAGCUGGCAGUAGUGUGGUCAGUAGUACAGUAGAUCCCAAUCCCAUAGAGAUCAAAAGGUCAAAGAUCAAGAAAGAGGCAGAAUCCCACCAUGGAUCCCAUCGAGACCUUCGAGGUGUGGACGAUGAUGACGAGAAGCCUACUAUCGACUCUCAGGGGAAACACAUCCCGGUGGAAGGAGAACCAGACUUUGUGGAGACCAACUGUCACUGGGAAAACUGUUCCCUGGAGUUCCCAACUCAAGAUGACCUUGUUAAGCAUAUAAAUAUAGAUCACAUACAAGCCAACAAGAAGAUGUUCAUCUGUCGCUGGAAGGAAUGCAGUCGUGAGGAGAAACCGUUCAAGGCUCAAUACAUGUUGGUGGUGCACAUGAGGCGACACACAGGGGAGAAACCUCACAAGUGCACAUUUGAAGGCUGCUCAAAGGCGUACUCUCGGCUGGAGAAUUUGAAGACUCAUCUCAGAUCUCACACGGGAGAGAAGCCGUACAUGUGCGAGUUUCCUGGCUGUACGAAAGCCUUCAGCAAUGCGUCUGACAGGGCCAAGCAUCAAAACAGAACGCAUUCUAAUGCUGUGAGUACUUUUGAAUGCUUUCCAUUUUGAGAUAUAUAGACAAAAGAUAUAUUUUACAGAUUAAACACAGUUUUAUGUAUUUUUUAUUAAGAUGUAUUAUAGGCAAUG